CCUACGGGUGGCAGCAGUGAGGAAUAUUGGUCAAUGGGCGCGAGUCUGAACCAGCCAUGUAGCGUGAAUGAUGACUGCCCUCUGGUUUGUAAACUUCUUUUAUAUGGAAGUAAAAUGUUCCACGUGUGACCAUUUGUAUGUACCUUAUGAAUAAGGAUCGGCUAACUCAGGACCAGCAGCCGCGGUAAUACGGAGGGUCCGAGCGUUAUCCGGAUGUAUUUGGGUUAAAGGGAUCGUAGGUGGGUUGUUAAGUCAGUUGUGAAAGUUUGCGGCUCAACCGUGAAAUUGCAUUUGAUACUGGCAGGCUUGAGUACAGUAGAGGUGGGCAGAAUUCGUGGUGUAGCGGUGAAAUGCUUAGAUAUCACGAAGAACUCCGAUUGCGAAGGCAGCUCACUGGACUGCAACUGACAUUGAUGUUCGAAAGUGUGGGUAGCAAACAGGAUUAGAUACCCCUGUAGUC
rnacentral:rRNA from 1 species